rnacentral:rRNA from 1 species
UGGGGAAUAUUGCACAAUGGGGGGAAACCCUGAUGCAGCGACGCCGCGUGGAGGAAGAAGGUCUUCGGAUUGUAAACUCCUGUUGUUGAGGAAGAUAAUGACGGUACUCAACAAGGAAGUGACGGCUAACUACGUGCCAGCAGCCGCGGUAAAACGUAGGUCACAAGCGUUGUCCGGAAUUACUGGGUGUAAAGGGAGCGCAGGCGGUCCUGCAAGUCUGAUGUGAAAGCCCGGGGCUCAACCCCGGGACUGCAUUGGAAACUGUGGGACUUGAGUGUCGGAGGGGCAAGUGGAAUUCCUAGUGUAGCGGUGAAAUGCGUAGAUAUUAGGAGGAACACCAGUGGCGAAGGCGGCUUGCUGGACGACAACUGACGCUGAGGCUCGAAAGCGUGGGGAGCAAACAGGAUUAGAUACCCUGGUAGU